UUUCGUAGUACAGCAAAUCUUCAAACGCAAAGGCAGGCAGCAAGCGUUCGCAAGAUCAAUUGCAGCCAUAAGUAGCAGACUAGAGUAGAACAAGAGAGUUAAGAUUGAAGUGAUUGCAUCUUUCGCCAUUGUCACAGAAAUCACAGGUACAAUGUCACCCAUGCUCGACGAAUCUGAUGGGCACAGAAGACUACAAGACACUACAUACAGGAUCUCAUCGUAGUCCAUGAGAAAUGGAUCUAAGCAACAAUGGCUAGGCUAUGGGGACGACGGCUACUCCUUGGUGGCGGCGGUCUUCUUCUUGGGGGACUUGGCGGCCGUCUUCUUCUUGGGCGACUUGGCCUCCUUCUCGGCGGCGGCGGGGGACUUCUUGGGGAGCAGCACGGAGUUGAUGUUGGGGAUCACGCCACCGUGGGCGAUGGUGACGCCGGCGAGCAGCCUGCGGAGCUCCUGGUCAUUGCGGACGGCGAGGAGCAGGUGGCGCGGGAUGAUGCGGGUCUUCUUGUUGUCCUUGGCAGCAUUGCCGGCGAGCUCCAGGACCUGCGCAUUCAAAAACGAAAUCUGUCAGUUAACUGUCCGAGCACGGGAAGAACAGAGCAGAACAGAUGUUCAAGGACGGGGAAGAUCGGCGCAUACCUCUGCGGCGAGGUACUCGAGGACGGCGGCGAGGUAGACGGGGGCGCCGGAGCCGACGCGCUGCGCGUAGCGGCCCUUCUUGAGGUAGCGCCCGAUGCGGCCGACGGGGAACUGGAGCCCGGCCUUGACGGACCUGGUCACCGCCUUCUUCCUGUCGCCGCCCUUCCUUCCGGCCAUCUUGCUUGCUGCUACUUCUCCGGCGACGAGGACUCUCGAGGUGUGGUGUUUGCGGCGGCGGUGCUAGAUCGGAAUGCUCUGAGCUUGUGUGUUGGAACGCUGGCGUGGGCGCGGGUUUUAUCGGGAGGCGGGAGCGUCGCUGGCGGGGGGAGCGAUCCGCGUGAUGCGGUGCGCCAGCCGUUGGAUCUGAGGGGAGCGUGACGGGCCGGGGGAGUGAUCCGUGGGAGCUCCAGAUCGACCAAUCAGAUAGCAGAGAUUUGCAAUACGUACGUGGAAUUGAAAUUGAGUUCAAAACCAAAAAUCAGCCUAUGUAUUGAAAUGGGCUUGAAUUCCUUUUUUUUUUGCUAUUAGAUGGGCUUCAAUUCUGAUUGUGUUUUUGGUCGUAUAUAAAAUUGCUAAUUGGGAUUAAGUGAUUGUCAAUAGCACCCCUAAAAAAAAGUGAUUGUCAAUAGCAGUUUUUUUUUUGAAAAAAACAUAUAUUAAUUAAUUAAACAGAAGUUUAUUACAAUCAGUCAUUACAACAUAUGCCACACAGGGUGGAACAGAGUUAACGAGCAACCCAUCAGACCUAUUAUUAAAACUAAACUUAGCACUCUCAAAUGCCACCUCAUUGGCAUGACGAUUUAUUUUCGAGAAACUCAAAUUUUGGAACAUCUUGACGAUACUCAGAACCUCUUUCUUUAGAUCAACGAGAGGGAAUUUAUCAAGCUUGUCAUUCGCAAGGAAAUAAUGUACGAAAGCACAGUCAAUCUUCAAAAUAAUAUAUUGGUGAAGGGUAAUACCGAUAUAAAGACAUGCUAGGCAUGCGCGGAGCUCAGCUUCACUGACACUAGUACACUUACCAGUAAAAUCCCACGAGGACAUUAUAAUUUCGCCAAUUCCUAGCGACAACCCCCACACUGGCAGCAUUAAUACUCUCCACAAAACUAGCAUCGACAUUGAUCUUGAUAUAAUCCACAAGAGGCAAUUUCCACACCUCAUGCUCUUUCACCGAUGCCAAAUCCACAAUAACCCCUCCCACCUUUUCCUUACCUUUGUUGCAAGAAUCCAACUGUGUAGCGUCGUUAUUGGCCGUAUAAGAGGACCAAUAUUUUUCCACAAAAUUUGUCGAGUUAGUAAUGGAUUCUUUUCCCUUUCCGAAAAUUAAAUCAUUUCUCAGAUGUCAAGCUCGCCAGAAAAGGAAUAAAAUUUGCUCUCCUUGCUGCAAGUUCAACUGAUCCAGCAAACUCAAAAGCCAGUCUGGUCCUGAGCAUUUGAAGAACUCUUCAUCCAGAAUAUUCCAAGAAUCUCUCAAGGCCAACCGCAGAGCACAAGAUUUAGAACACCUCACCAGAGCAUGGAAAGUGCUUUCAUCUUCCACAUCGCAAAUAGAGCACAUACCUGAGUUAGUCUAAUGGUGUUUAAAUCUAUUCAUCUGGACUGCCAAACUAUUCGUAGCAGCACGCCACACAAAAAUCCCAAAUCUUUUGAGCAAAUACCAGUUUUUAUUUAGAAUAGCUAAUUGUAUGUGCAUUGCAACACGGGCAUACAUAUGUUUGUGGUUCACAUUAACUAUGUCUAUCCUCCACCCACUACCUCCAUCUCCCCAAUCCAAUCUUUACCACCUAUGUUAAUGGCUCAUCUGGUCACAAUCCAUGCAAUUUGGAUUCUGGACACAUAAUUCUGCAGUUGAUAUUAAUCUAGUCUCUACAUGGCAGGAGGACGAAAAGAAAAUUUGAAGACAUGGGAACCUAACUGGGUAUAGCAAAAGAAAAUGCGGAGAAAACACCAGUUCACAAGUGAACUUUGUGAACUCUAAUAUAUGUUAUGAAUUAUAUCGAUGAGAAAGUGUGACUUUUUUGAAGAACUCAUGAUGAAUAACAAUAUUAAACAAAUAUAGUUAAAUACUCGGCUAACCAAUUUCCUUGAGUAUAUUUUAUCAAUGUUGACAUUUACAAUAUUUUCCUUGAACACUAGCCUUUGCACAGAACAUUCGCCUUCUCACAACAAUGAUGGGUCACUAGGGCUUGGCAGCACUAGUAAGAAAAUUUAGUACUAUGAGAGCAUCUACAACCGCAUAUGCCAAAUAUGACCCCUCAAACGCCCGCGGGCGUACCAAUAUGACCCCGAGCGUGUCUGCAGGCAGUGAUCGGUCAGUCCUCAAAUUUGCUCAACUGCAUCUGAACACCUCAUACUAAAAUUCUUAAAUCCAUACAAAAGCAUGCGGGAAAAAAAACCUACGUACUACGUAGAUCACUUAGCCUAGUCCUCAUCGGAGAUGUCGACUAUCUCCGUGCCCGACUCCGAGUACAUGGGCGACGGCUGCAGCUCCGGCCCCUCCGGCUACUCCGCUCCGGCCUUGUCCUCUAUCUACACAUCGAGUUCGGCGAAGAGCGCGUCAGCCGUCGCCCGCUCCUAUUGGAGGAACUGCCAGUUAACCUCCACAUAGGCCUCAUCUUGGAUGGACUCCAUGAUGGUCUGCUGCUCCGCCAUCUCUACGGCUUGGGCGACGGUGAACUCCGCCUCCGCGUCCCUUGAUAUGUCUCCGUCGUAUCUACCUUUUCAAACACUUUUGCUCUUGUUUUGGACUCUAAUUUGCAUGAUUUGAAUGAAACUAACUCGGACUGGCGUUAUUUUCAGCAGAACUACCAUGGUGUUGUUUUUUGUGCAAAAAUAAAAGUUCUCAAAAUUGGAUGAAACUUAUUGGAGAUUUUUUAUGGAAUAUAUAAAAAAUACUGGAGCGAAGAUCCACCAGAGGGGACCACUAGUUGCCCACAAGGCAAUAGGGCGCAACCACCCCCUAGGCGCGCCCUGAUGUCUUGUGGGACCCACGUGGCUCUGCUGACCCUAAUCUCAAGCCUAUAAAUUCCUUUUCCCCAAGAAAAAAAUAAAAGCAGAAGUUUCAUCGCGUUUUACGAUAUAGAGCCACCGCUACCUCCUAUUCUUCAUCGGGAGGCCAGAUCUAGAAUCCGUCCGGGGCUCUGGAGAGGGGGAUUCAUCGCCAUCAUCAUCACCAACCCUUCUUCAUCACCAAUUUCAUGAUGCUCACCACUAGGAGUGAGCAAUUCCUUUGUAGGCUUGCCGGACGGUGACGGGGUUAGAUGAGAUUUAUUAUGUAAUCAAGUCAAAUUGUUAGGAAUUGAUCCCUAGUAUCCACUAUGUUCUGAGAUUGAUAUUGCUAUGACUUUACUAUGCUUAAUGCUUGUCACUGGGGCCCGAGUGCCAUGAUUUUAGAUCUGAACCCUUUAUGUUUUCAUGAAUACAUUUGUGUUCUUGAUCCUAUCUUGCAAGUUAUAUGCCUCUAUUACGUGUUAUGAUUCGCAUACCCCGAAGUGACAAUAGUUGGAAUUUUUUCCGGUGAUGAGCGUAAUUUAAGGAGUUCAUGUGUUAAUGCUUUGUUCCAGUUAUCUAUUAAAAGGAGGAAUUAAUAUCCCUUAGUUUCCAUAUGGACCCCGCUGCCACGGGAGGGUGGGACAAAAGAUGUCACACAAGUUCUUAUUAUAAGCACAUAUGACUAUAUACGAAACACAUACCUACAUUACAUUGAUGAAUUGCGGCUAUUGUGUAUCGCUCUAGGUUGUGACCGUUAUAUGAUGAAUGUCAUCUAACACAAAUAUACAUCACUGAUCCAAAAUGUUGGUCAAGAUCUAAUUUGGAAUGUUUGACUGCAGGACUUCUGAAGCAUCUUUCUUAUCCAAUUUAAUUAGCACCAUCUUCAAUCGAUAAGCUGCCACGCAGGGAGAGGCGGAGGAUGAUUGGAAAUCCUAAGUGCUACUUCUUCAUAGAUUCAGUUUCCAGCAGCUUGAUAGGAAUAAGCUUGAAGUGAACUUCACAAGGAGGUAAAGAUAAAUGGCUGAAAAUGACAUAUCAAUGGAAAUUUUUGGAUGCUAGAAGAGAGAAUUUCGUAGUACAAGAUUGAAAUGAUUGCAUCUUUCGCAUUGUCAUAGAAAUCAAAGAUACAAUGCCAUCCUUGCUCGACGAAUCUGACGGGCACUAUAGAUUAGCAGGCAUUACAUACAGGAUCUCAUCUUAGUCCAUGAAAAAUGGAUCUAAGCAACACCGACUAGG
rnacentral:lncRNA from 1 species